rnacentral:lncRNA from 1 species
UGCAUCCUUAACUCUGGCAAGGUUAUUGAAGCUGUUCUUUUAAAACUACGAGGAAGAAGAAACAGAGCGCUCUCGGGAAAUGUUGAAAAAGCAGAGCCCCAUUCAUCACAGCACAGGUUGAAGAGACCAGCUCUCCCCGAUAUUGGCAGAAUUUCCAUCACAGGAAUAAGCUUUUGAAAAGCAAACUGACAGAUGAGAGCAGUGAAAUCCACUGAGUGGGCCGUGGAGAACAGCUGUGUUUGAGAGGCAUCUCAGCGAUGUGAAUGAGGCCGGGAGGAGCCAUGAAGACGGCACUGCCUGUGGGGCCCCCGAUAAAUGAUGGCACUGAGCAAUUGGCAGGACUGUGGGCGUGGGAGGGGUCCCUAGGCCCCACCCCCCUCUGCUCCUGUUUGUGUAAUUAACAGCCUGCUUCCUAUCAGGGGCUCUGCCUUCAGUGCUCUCUGCUGCGGCUCUUACCAGCGAGGCCUGGAGGGGCGGCUCCUUCACCUGCCCUGUCCUGGUUUUUGCUCCCGCCUGCCCCGUGAGCCAGGGGAUGCAUUCACAGCUGCUCUUUUUGAUGUAUAAAGUGUGUUUGAACAUUAUGCCAAAUAUCAAAAUGUGAAGGACUAAUCCAGGAUGCAAAAACAUUAUGGGGGGUUGUAAAUACGAACUAUACAACAGUUUAGGAUGCAAUUAUGAGUGUAAACUGUGUGCCUUAUUUAUACUUCGUUGUCUCCAGCUUCUCAG